GUUUAGUUUCUAUACGAGAUGUUAUUGUAAUUUUAGACAUUAUGUGUACUAAUGCUGAUCACAGAGGCUACUGAGUGAAGAACAAAUUGAUGUAACAUGAUCUGUGAGUAUGCAGUUUAGAUAUUUCUUUAUUCAUUCAAAUUUGAAUUUGAAAUGAUUCAUCUCUCUUACUUUAUCAGAAAAUAAGGAAAGGUGCUAAAAUUGGGCAUUGUGACAAUGAUAAGUCCUUUGAAAAGAACAUCAAUGUCUCAGCCUGUGCAACAUCUUGUGAGACUCGGCUCAAUGAGGCUACUGCUGAACUGACUGCUUCUGAGAGCCAAACUAAACUGAAAGAGACUGCAACUAGGCUGACCAACACAUCUACUCCAGAGAUGGGACUGUCUCACCUAGCUGUUUAAGUCACCAACACAGCUCAAUGAUCCUUUGGAUCUUUGGAUCCUCUAAGAACUCUUCGGUCCUUUCAAUUAUAUUUUUUUGAACCCCAAUCUGGCUAUUUUAAUGAAACUUAUUAUUGCAUGCAUAUUGGUGUAACUUUGCCAUUUGUUCUUCACUAUGAGGAUGACUACACACAGUGGUGCUUGAAAGUUUGUGAAUCUGUUACAGGUUCUUUACAUUUUGCCUUUAAUUACUGUAAUAAAUGUAGCUUUUAAGGAAAAAAA